UACGUAGGGGGCAAGCGUUGUCCGGAAUCAUUGGGCGUAAAGAGCGUGUAGGCGGCCCGAUAAGUCCGCCGUGAAAGUCCAGGGCUCAACCCUGGAAUGCCGGUGGAAACUGUCGGGCUGGAGUCCGGAAGAGGCGAGUGGAAUUCCUGGUGUAGCGGUGAAAUGCGCAGAUAUCAGGAGGAACACCAAUGGCGAAGGCAGCUCGCUGGGACGGUACUGACGCUGAGACGCGAAAGCGUGGGGAGCGAACAGG
rnacentral:rRNA from 1 species